AGUUCAACAUACUGAUAUGUUUCAGCACUGGUUUGGCCUGUCUGCAUUUCAGUGGACGAGUGACUGCCACAAUUACGAUGGCGUACCGCGAGCAAUGAAGACUUAUUGCUGCUUCAAUUCAGAAGGCUCUGACUGAAAUUUCGCCUUCAAAUAAGCUUCAAUAUGGACUUUUUCCUGGAUAUAUUUUCCAACAACUACCUUUUAUACUAUUGGAAGAAUAAUAUCAUGUGACCAAACCAUACAGAAACGGACCUGGUUGAGAACUUGCACACAGAUGACAACCUGAAAGGGAACUGAGAA